UACCCGCAGCACAAGUGGUGGUCAUUAUUAUUGGGCCUAAAGCGUCCGUAGCUGGCUUGUUAGAUGCCUGGGUAAAUCGAUGCGCUCAACGUAUCGAACUCCGGGUAGACCGGCAAGCUUGGGACCGGGAGAGAUGUGAGCUACUCGAGGGGUAGGGGUAAAAUCCUGUAAUCCUUCGGGGAGGACCAGUGGCGAAGGCGUCACAUUAGAACGGCUCCGACAGUGAGGGACGAAGCCCUGGGGCGCAAACCGG
rnacentral:rRNA from 1 species